ACGGAGGAUCCAAGCGUUAUCCGGAAUUACUGGGCGUAAAGAGUUGCGUAGGUGGCAUGGUAAGUUGAUAGUGAAAGCGUGCGGCUCAACCGCAUACACAUUAUCAAAACUGCCAAGCUAGAGGAUGAGAGAGGUUAUUGGGAUUCCUAGUGUAGGAGUGAAAUCCGUAGAUAUUAGGAGGAACACCGAUGGCGUAGGCAGAUAACUGGCUCAUUCCUGACACUAAGGCACGAAAGCGUGGGGAGCAAACGGGA
rnacentral:rRNA from 1 species